rnacentral:rRNA from 1 species
GAAAGCGUGGGUAGCGANCAGGAUUAGAUACCCUGGUAGUCCACGCCGUAAACGAUGAGUGCUAGGUGUUAGGCCCUUUCCGGGGCUUAGUGCCGGAGCUAACGCAAUAANCACUCCGCCUGGGGAGUACGACCGCAAGGUUGAAACUCAAAGGAAUUGACGGGGGCCCGCACAAGCGGUGGAGCAUGUGGUUUAAUUCGAAGCAACGCGAAGAACCUUACCAGGUCUUGACAUCCCGAUGCUAUUCUUAGAGAUAGGAAGUUACUUCGGUACAUCGGAGACAGGUGGUGCAUGGUCGUCGUCAGCUCGUGUCGUGAGAUGUUGGGUUAAGUCCCGCAACGAGCGCAACCCUUAUUGUUAGUUGCCAUCAUUAAGUUGGGCACUCUAGCGAGACUGCCGGUAAUAAACCGGAGGAAGGUGGGGAUGACGUCAAAUCAUCAUGCCCCUUAUGACCUGGGCUACACACGUGCUACAAUGGUCGGUACAACGAGUUGCGAGCCGGUGACGGCAAGCUAAUCUCUGAAAGCCGAUCUCAGUUCGGAUUGGAGGCUGCAACUCGCCUCCAUGAAGUCGGAAUCGCUAGUAAUCGCGGAUCAGCACGCCGCGGUGAAUACGUUCCCGGGCCUUGUACACACCGCCCGUCACACCACGAGAGUUUGUAACACC